UUCUCAGGGACGAACCCCAUCUGUCGGUUCGACACAACGUCGAGAGACCGACAGAAAGGGAAUCACCGAUAACUAGGGCACUUUCAGCAGGUUUCUCAGUCGGUGCGUCACUGAGUGGGGCAAACCUGUUCGAGACUGUAAUCGGAACGGUUGAGUGAUGUUUUGUCCUGCGACUAUGUUGUCUCACAGUCACAAAGUUUCCAAUCUGCAGGGGAUUUUCAACCAGAACCGAGCUGUGUACACUAACGUUGCUCGCAUCCAAAGUGUUUUCUAUGGUCCUUACACUCUUACUAUCCUCAGAUAAAGAUUGGAUGCGAGACUCUAAUUCUAAGAUCUUCUCUGUCAGCCUAACUAUUUCCCUGCAUUUAUCGCAUAUAAAACCCUCGCAGCUGACAGAGAAGGCUAAGCUAAACAUAUGACAUGAGGUGAAAGUAACAAUAAUAGGAAUAGAAGCCAUAACUCUCUGGGUUUGAAGUGCAAUUCCGACUUACCAAGGUUGCUCGAUGAAUCAUAGUAUAUACGCUUAAGAAGAGAAACAGUUAGCACACAAGACAAACUAGAGGCAAUCUGAUAGUAUAAACAGAAAGCAAGCUAACACGCUAAUGCUAUGCUAACGGUGUUAAGUUAACUAUCAAUUUUGGUUUAGAAUCUUCAAGUAAAUAACAAUAACAGGGUUAUUGAGAUAUCAGGAUAAGUUGGCAACGACAAUGAUAAGUAACGAUAGUAAAAUACACUACUAUUAAAAUGAAGCGCAAGUGCAGGGAUACAAACAAACCGCCGACACCGACCAAUCAGAACUCAUAAGUGUAACGGAGGCCUUCUAGUGUGUGAAAGUGUGCAUGUGCAAACAGUAAUCUUUGUUUGAUCACUUGUCUGUUUCCGACACCGGACCGAUUGGCCUCUUAUUCGGAGCGGUUUCAUGUCAGAUCAUUUGUAAGGAAUGCAUCAGGUCAGGUGCAACUUUGCCAACUCACAGGUAUCACACAUCAGAGUUGAAAGUCUAUAUAUAUAUAUAUAUAUAUUUUUUUUUUUUUAAUGGUUACUUAUAAUGGUAAUGGUUGGUGUUAGUCCUUGUUGACAAGUUAAUGUUCAAAGAAUAAACUGCAGUAAAGUGUUUUUAUACUGUUGGAGAUACUGAAAUAGAACGUUUUGGCGACAUAAUUGUGAUUAUUGUGUAAUUUUAAUGCAACUGAAAACCAAUAAAUGGUCACAUGUAAUUUUAAUUUAGGCUUACAUUUAUUAACUAAACAAAUAUAAAAAAAUUUCUUUACUAAUCUUUUUAUUCUCCUAAUUUAGUGGAAAUAUGUUGUUGUGCUAGGGAAAGAAAAUAGGAUGGGGUGUGCAAACGGGGGUUGGGGGUCCAUGAGGAUGGUUUGACAUAUGGUGGGGUCCAGUACUCAAAAAAGGUUGACACUGUUCUAGAGAACCUCUUAAGGUCAGGUAGUGAGGUUUACCUGCACAGCAGUCAAACUAACUGGCCUCCGUUACAUAAGCACAAGAUUUGUUGGUUACAAUUUCAUAGUCGAAACUAGGAAGUAGUUACUCCACAAGGCUAAACUUUUAUAACAACACAGUCUCACAGGGAUUCGUGACAUUGUUCAUGGACACGAAUUUCCACCUUUUUUCGUGUCAGUCACCACAACCUUUUUUCGUGUCACCCAGCAUGACUUUCAAUCUAACAUAUUUUAAUAUGCAAUAUCUUUUAUAUGUAUAAAUAUAUAUCAAUGCAAUCUGAUGGGAAUUCAUACCUUUUUUACAAGGUGGCUCAUUCAUGUGAUUUUCUAUUUCCUAUGAUCUCAUUCGUAUGUUCUCUUGUGAUUUGACCUGUGACAUUAUGUUUAGGGGCGGGGUUAGAGUAGCCAUUAACGGGUGCUUUGCCACCUCGUGAGACACAAUGUUUAAGUAUAUAUCUAAUAUAUAAUAGCUUGUUGUGAUGAGGACUGGUCUGCCCAUCUUCUCAUCCUUUCAGUCCAAUCAUCAGUCAAAUUGUGAGCCAGAUCCAGCAUUGAUUACCUAGGGAAAAUUAAAAGACAGGCAUACUAGAAUAUAAAGCAUUAUAAAUAUAGCACUUUUUAAUAGCUUUGUAAACCUUUCAGAUGCAUUUGAUGAUGACCCGAGUGUUUUAAGGGCUGAGCUGUCCUGUGGUCACGUUACAGAUCCAGAGACACUGACUGACUGUUGCAAGGCUCAACUGAAAUGUGGACGGACUGAAUUCAAAUGUCCUCUGUGUGAGAAAGAAUGGCCAUAUAAUGAAGUGCGAAAAUUGGCGAAACUUACAAUUGAUGAGCAAUCCCGUUUUGAGGAAAACCUUGGGACAAACACUGUUAAGAAGUUAUUGGACUUUAGGGAUUGUCCUGGCUGCGGCACUUUAAUCGAAAGGUCGGAUGAUUCCAAUCUCUGUGUGAAGUGCUCAGUUUGCACAGCGACUAACAAAAAAACAUAUGAAUUCUGUUGGCGGUGUAUGAGAGAGUGGAAAGGACCUCAAACUCAUGCUGAACGUUGUGGAAAUGUUGGAUGUUCCAUUGACGAGAAACUGCUGAGAGAGUGUCCAAUGAUUACUUUACAAUAUUUUGAAAAUGGAUGUUUUGAUGCAGUGGUGCAGUGUCCAAAACUCCGUAAAUGCCCAUAUUGUGACACAAUGAUUGAACAUACUAAUGUAGGAUGUAAUAACAUGCCAUGCCCAGAUUGUAACACAGAGUUUUGCUUUGUUUGUUUAAAACCUGCACAUGACUAUGACUAUGAAUGUCCAUGUACACUCGCACCAAGGCAAAUAAAUACUGUAUUGUAGCAGUGGUAACUAUUUUAACACUACAUUGAAAGCCUGUCUUCCAUUACUUUAAAGAUUUUAAUUAAAAAAUACUUUUUAUUUCUUUUAUUUAAAAUUAUUUUCUAUAUCUGUGUAUUUCAAGAUUUUGAAAAAUAGAAAUGUAAAUAUCAUGCAGCAUUGUUACACUGGUCCAUCUUGUAAAUGAUUUAGUUAAUGAGUUUUUUUCUUCAUGAUUAUGUCAAUAAACACAUUUUAUGCUGCUUGAACUGUAUAACUGAACUACAAAAUAAAGAGAUGA